ACAUCUCUGGAGUGUGCGCCGAUCUAUCGCGUCCCCUGAGCCGAUAAUUUUUCUUUCGGAAAUGACGUAUUGUUUACGGUGUGCAUGUCUGCUAAGUCGCAAGACCUCUAGUUCAGAAAGCCUAAAGUGGCAUACUCCUUUCCACCUUGAACCUCUGGGUUCAAGGGUCUAGAUGGAUAGCGGCACUCUGGAGUACUU
rnacentral:other from 1 species